GUUGAUUGACACACAGUUUUUUGACCUCAUCUGCAACUGAGAGCAGCUGCAGUCAAGAGGACAUCGCAUAUCUGUGGAUUAUAUGUGCACGUCUUUGCUCUUGGGUCAGAAACCGUCUACCAGUGCAAGGAAAAACACUGGUUCUGCUCUACAAACGUCAAGUAGAGGAGUUUUUGUUUAAAUGGCGCCCAACGUGAAGAGGAACACUUCUUUGAUGGAAAAAAAGGCACAGGAUCUUUAGCAUUGCGCCUCAACAACAUGUCCAGGAAUACAUAUCAAUGGCCAGUCAAGGCAGCCACAGUGCCUCAAGCACAAGGACCAAACCGCCGAAGAUCAGCAGCCACAGCAGCUUGAUGGAGAUGCUUGCAGGGAGGCUAUAUAAUUUCUUGUUCACUCUCCUCAUGCAGAAAGUGUGUUUCAGAAGAUGAAGAUGACCUUGCAACAUUGUCAGGACCUAGUGGGACAGAGUACAGGGC
ensembl:lncRNA